rnacentral:misc_RNA from 1 species
CAGAGAAACUCGCCCGCAAGGGUGACUCUCCAACCCUAUGUUAACUAUACCUUUGUUGCUUUGGCGAGCCGCCUCGGCCACCGGCUCACGCUGGUGAGCGCUCGCCAGAGGACCCUAAACUCUGUUUAUACAUGUCGUCUGAGUACUAUAUAAUAGUUA